rnacentral:rRNA from 1 species
GUCCACGCCCUAAACGAUGAUCACUAGGUGUUGGGGAAGUGAUUCCUUGGUACCGCAGCUAACGCGUGAAGUGAUCCGCCUGGGGAGUACGGCCGCAAGGUUAAAACUCAAAGGAAUUGACGGGGACCCGCACAAGCGGUGGAUGAUGUGGAUUAAUUCGAUGCAACGCGAACAACCUUACCUACCCUUGACAUGUCCGGAAGCCUGCUGAAAGGCGGGUGUGCUCGUAAGAGAACUGGAACACAGGUGCUGCAUGGCUGUCGU